rnacentral:rRNA from 1 species
GAUGAACGCUGACAGAAUGCUUAACACAUGCAAGUCGAUUCAAGUUACCUUCGGGUAAUGAGGAUGGCGGACGGGUGAGUAACGCGUAAGGAACUUGCCUCUUGGUCUGGGACAACUGUUGGAAACGACAGCUAAUACCGGAUAUUAUGAGAUUCUCGCAUGGGAAACUUAUGAAAGCUAUACGCGCCAAGAGAGAGCCUUGCGUUCCAUUAGCUAGUUGGUGGGGUAACGGCCCACCAAGGCGACGAUGGAUAGCCGGCCUGAGAGGGUGAACGGCCACAAGGGGACUGAGACACGGCCCUUACUCCUACGGGAGGCAGCAGUGGGGAAUAUUGGACAAUGGGCCACAAGCCUGAUCCAGCAAUUCUGUGUGCACGAUGAAGGUCUUCGGAUUGUAAAGUGCUUUCAGUUGGGAAGAAGAAAGUGACGGUACCAACAGAAGAAGCGACGGCUAAAUACGUGCCAGCAGCCGCGGUAAUACGUAUGUCGCAAGCGUUAUCCGGAUUUAUUGGGCGUAAAGCGCGUCUAGGCGGAAAAAUAAGUCUGAUGUUAAAAUGCGGGGCUCAACUCCGUAUUGCGUUGGAAACUGUUUUUCUAGAGUACUGGAGAGGUGGGCGGAACUACAAGUGUAGAGGUGAAAUUCGUAGAUAUUUGUAGGAAUGCCGAUGGAGAAGUCAGCUCACUGGACAGANACUGACGCUGAAGCGCGAAAGCGUGGGGAGCAAACAGGAUUAGAUACCCUGGUAGUCCAC